CCUACGGGGUGCAGCAGUGGGGAAUAUUGGACAAUGGGCGAAAGCCUGAUCCAGUCAUGCCGCGUGUGUGAAGAAGGCCUUCGGGUUGUAAAGCACUUUCAGUGGGGAAGAAAGCCUUGGGGCUAAUACCCUCGAGGAAGGACAUCACCCACAGAAGAAGCACCGGCUAACUCCGUGCCAGCAGCCGCGGUAAUACGGAGGGUGCGAGCGUUAAUCGGAAUUACUGGGCGUAAAGCGCGCGUAGGCGGUCUGAUAAGCCGGUUGUGAAAGCCCCGGGCUCAACCUGGGAACGGCAUCCGGAACUGUCAGGCUAGAGUGCAGGAGAGGAAGGUAGAAUUCCCGGUGUAGCGGUGAAAUGCGUAGAGAUCGGGAGGAAUACCAGUGGCGAAGGCGGCCUUCUGGACUGACACUGACGCUGAGGUGCGAAAGCGUGGGUAGCAAACAGGAUUAGAUACCCUGGUAGUC
rnacentral:rRNA from 1 species